UGCUGGAGGUAUCAGAAGUGCGAAUGCUGACAUAAGUAACGAUAAAGCGGGUGAAAAGCCCGCUCGCCGGAAGACCAAGGGUUCCUGUCCAACGUUAAUCGGGGCAGGGUGAGUCGACCCCUAAGGCGAGGCCGAAAGGCGUAGUCGAUGGGAAACGGGUUAAUAUUCCCGUACUUGGUGUUACUGCGAAGGGGGGACGGAGAAGGCUAUGUUGGCCGGGCGACGGUUGUCCCGGUUUAAGCGUGUAGGUGUGUGUUCCAGGUAAAUCCGGUUCACUUUAACACUGAGGCGUGACGACGAGGCACUACGGUGCUGAAGCAACAAAUGCCCUGCUUCCAGGAAAAGCCUCUAAGCAUCAGGUAACAUCAAAUCGUACCCCAAACCGACACAGGUGGUCAGGUAGAGAAUACCAAGGCGCUUGAGAGAACUCGGGUGAAGGAACUAGGCAAAAUGGUGCCGUAACUUCGGGAGAAGGCACGCUGACACGUAGGUGAAGUGAUUUACUCAUGGAGCUGAAGUCAGUCGAAGAUACCAGCUGGCUGCAACUGUUUAUUAAAAACACAGCACUGUGCAAACACGAAAGUGGACGUAUACGGUGUGACGCCUGCCCGGUGCCGGAAGGUUAAUUGAUGGGGUCAGCGCAAGCGAAGCUCCUGAUCGAAGCCCCGGUAAACGGCGGCCGUAACUAUAACGGUCCUAAGGUAGCGAAAUUCCUUGUCGGGUAAGUUCCGACCUGCACGAAUGGCGUAAUGAUGGCCAGGCUGUCUCCACCCGAGACUCAGUGAAAUUGAACUCGCUGUGAAGAUGCAGUGUACCCGCGGCAAGACGGAAAGACCCCGUGAACCUUUACUAUAGCUUGACACUGAACAUUGAGCCUUGAUGUGUAGGAUAGGUGGGAGGCUUUGAAGUGUGGACGCCAGUCUGCAUGGAGCCGACCUUGAAAUACCACCCUUUAAUGUUUGAUGUUCUAACGUGGACCCGUUACCCGGGUUGCGGACAGUGUCUGGUGGGUAGUUUGACUGGGGCGGUCUCCUCCUAAAGAGUAACGGAGGAGCACGAAGGUUGGCUAAUCCUGGUCGGACAUCAGGAGGUUAGUGCAAUGGCAUAAGCCAGCUUGACUGCGAGCGUGACGGCGCGAGCAGGUGCGAAAGCAGGUCAUAGUGAUCCGGUGGUUCUGAAUGGAAGGGCCAUCGCUCAACGGAUAAAAGGUACUCCGGGGAUAACAGGCUGAUACCGCCCAAGAGUUCAUAUCGACGGCGGUGUUUGGCACCUCGAUGUCGGCUCAUCACAUCCUGGGGCUGAAGUAGGUCCCAAGGGUAUGGCUGUUCGCCAUUUAAAGUGGUACGCGAGCUGGGUUUAGAACGUCGUGAGACAGUUCGGUCCCUAUCUGCCGUGGGCGCUGGAGAACUGAGGGGGGCUGCUCCUAGUACGAGAGGACCGGAGUGGACGCAUCACUGGUGUUCGGGUUGUCAUGCCAAUGGCACUGCCCGGUAGCUAAAUGCGGAAGAGAUAAGUGCUGAAAGCAUCUAAGCACGAAACUUGCCCCGAGAUGAGUUCUCCCUGAGACUUAGAGUCUCCUGAAGGAACGUUGAAGACGACGACGUUGAUAGGCCGGGUGUGUAAGCGCAGCGAUGCGUUGAGCUAACCGGUACUAAUGAACCGUG
rnacentral:rRNA from 1 species